AUAGUAGCAAUACUAGAGACCGGCGCACGGGUGAGUAACGCGUAUGCAAUCUACCUUUUACAAAGGGAUAGCCCAGAGAAAUUUGGAUUAAUACCUUAUGGUAUAUGGGAUAGGCAUCUAUUUCAUAUUAAAGAUUUAUUGGUAAAAGAUGAGCAUGCGUUCCAUUAGCUAGUUGGUAUGGUAACGGCAUACCAAGGCUACGAUGGAUAGGGGUCCUGAGAGGGAGAUCCCCCACACUGGUACUGAGACACGGACCAGACUCCUACGGGAGGCAGCAGUGAGGAAUAUUGGUCAAUGGACGCAAGUCUGAACCAGCCAUGCCGCGUGCAGGACGACUGCCCUAUGGGUUGUAAACUGCUUUUAUACGGGAAGAAACACUGUUACGUGUAACAGCUUGACGGUACUGUAAGAAUAAGGAUCGGCUAACUCCGUGCCAGCAGCCGCGGUAAUACGGAGGAUCCAAGCGUUAUCCGGAAUCAUUGGGUUUAAAGGGUCCGUAGGCGGCGGUAUAAGUCAGUGGUGAAAUCUCAUAGCUUAACUAUGAAAUUGCCAUUGAAACUGUAUUGCUUGAAUGAUUAUGAAGUAACUAGAAUAUGUAGUGUAGCGGUGAAAUGCUUAGAUAUUACAUGGAAUACCAAUUGCGAAGGCAGGUUACUAAUAAUUUAUUGACGCUGAUGGACGAAAGCGUGGGUAGCGAACAGGAUUAGAUACCCUGGUAGUCCACGCCGUAAACGAUGGAUACUAGUUGUUUGGAUUUAUCUGAGUGACUAAGCGAAAGUGAUAAGUAUCCCACCUGGGGAGUACGUUCGCAAGAAUGAAACUCAAAGGAAUUGACGGGGGCCCGCACAAGCGGUGGAGCAUGUGGUUUAAUUCGAUGAUACGCGAGGAACCUUACCAAGGCUUAAAUGUAGAUUGCCCGAUUUGGAAACAGAUUUUUCGCAAGACAAUUUACAAGGUGCUGCAUGGUUGUCGUCAGCUCGUGCCGUGAGGUGUCAGGUUAAGUCCUAUAACGAGCGCAACCCCUUUUGUUAGUUACCAUCGAGUUAAGUCGGGAACUCUAACAAGACUGCCAGUGCAAACUGAGAGGAAGGAGGGGAUGACGUCAAAUCAUCACGGCCCUUACGCCUUGGGCUACACACGUGCUACAAUGGUCGGUACAGAGAGCAGCCACUGCGCGAGCAGGAGCGAAUCUACAAAGCCGAUCACAGUUCGGAUCGGAGU
rnacentral:rRNA from 1 species